GACGAACGCUGGCGGCGCGCUUAACACAUGCAAGUCGAGCGAAGCGGCGGACGGGUGAGUACCACGUGAGUAACCUGCCUUAGACAUUUGGAUAGCCUCGGGAAACCGGGAUUAAUACCAACUGGUCUAAGAUGGACUCGCGUCCCAUUAGUGAGUUGGUGAGUUAACGGCCCACCAAGGCGACGAUUGGUAGCCGGCCUGAGAUGGUGAACGGCCACAUUGGAACUGAGAAACGGUCCAAACUCUACGGGAGGCAGCAGUGGGGAAUAUUGCACAAUGGAGGGAACUCUGAUGCAGCGACGCCGCGUGAACGAAGAAGGCUUUCGAGUCGUAAAGUUCUUUUAUAUGGGAAGCGGUACCAUAAGAAAAAGCCCCGGCUAACUACGUGCCAGCAGCCGCGGUAAUAC
rnacentral:rRNA from 1 species